rnacentral:rRNA from 1 species
GACGAACGCUGGCGGCGUGCUUAACACAUGCAAGUCGAGCGGUAAGGCCCUUUCGGGGGUACACGAGCGGCGAACGGGUGAGUAACACGUGGGUGACCUGCCCUCAGCUCUGGGAUAAGCCUGGGAAACUGGGUCUAAUACUGGAUAUGACUCCAUGACGCAUGUUGUGGGGUGGAAAGCCUUGUGCGGCUGAGGAUGGGCCCGCGGCCUAUCAGCUUGUUGGUGGGGUGANGGCCUACCAAGGCGACGACGGGUAGCCGGCCUGAGAGGGCGACCGGCCACACUGGGACUGAGACACGGCCCAGACUCCUACGGGAGGCAGCAGUGGGGAAUCUUGCGCAAUGGGCGAAAGCCUGACGCAGCGACGCCGCGUGAGGGAUGACGGCCUCGGUGUAAC